rnacentral:misc_RNA from 1 species
AUUCCCGAAACUACUUCAAUCAGCUUUGAAGGCUUUGUAUAAAAACGUUUAAAUCGCGUCAAAUUAGCAUCAAUCCGAAUGUGACAUUUCAUUAAUCAUUACGUCACUGCACUGUAGCUAACCACAUCAUAGGAAAGGUCCUUUGUCAGAUAUGCCAGAUGCAGUGCUCAUGGUUAAUGGCAGCGUGACUGUCUGUCUGUACUUAAUCAUUAUAAAAUCAGGUGUAUUGUAUCCAAAAAGACUAGAAAAAUAUAUAUUUGUUUUCUAAAAUUAUGAUAAAAUAAUGGAAGAGUUCAAGCGGUGAAGAAUGCGGCUCCGAUGUGCCAUGGUAAUCUAUCCACGGGACCUAGAGCUUCCAGUGCCCCUUGGCCGGCUGCGCAAUCCCGCCGUACAUCUGCGACAGUCCCCUGCUCUGCGCCUCACUCCUUGCGUUCCCUGCGAGCUGAGACCAUGUUGGCCAGGCUUCUGAUUUGCUUGGUGCUCCUGAGCGUGGUUCUCGUCGUGUCUUCUUCAGUGAGUACGGUCAAACCCUCACUACAAUCGAGGUCCUGCGUUUCAGGCAUGACUGUUACAGGAAACUAAAA